rnacentral:rRNA from 1 species
CAGGUACAGAGAGAAGCCAGGUGGCGACACCGAGCGGAACUCGGAAGCCUGUCUCAGUUCGGAUCGGAGUCUGCAACCCGACUCCGUGAAGCUGGAUUCGCUAGUAAUCGCGCAUCAGCCAUGGCGCGGUGAAUACGUUCCCGGGCCUUGUACACACCGCCCGUCAAGCCAUGGAAGCCGGGAGUGCCUGAAGUAUGCAACCGCAAGGAGCGUCCUAAGGUAAAACCGGUGACUGGGGCUAAGUCGUAACAAGGUACC